rnacentral:misc_RNA from 1 species
CUUCUUCUUCUUCUUCUUUUCCCUUUUUACUGGCUGCUAGUCUGGACAAACUUUAAAAAAAAACCCUAGCAGCAUAGCUUUAUAUAUCCAGCGCCUUGUGUCGCCUCGGUGAGGUCGUGCACCUUGCCUAUCCCGAGGCGCUUGAGACUGCGCCUGGAAGGUGCGCCUCUGAUAACAAUGUGUGCAUUGAGGCUGUGAGAAAUUCGAUAAUGAAAAAUUGUAUGACUGUGAGAUAUAUUUAAAAGCAUUAAAAAUUGAUAAUCAUAUGUAUGCUAUGUAUUUUGGAGAAUAUAAUUUUGAAGACCAAAAAAUGAUUAAUUAAAUUUAAAUAAAGUUUAUUUUUUUUAGAUUUAAUUCUAUGAAUUUAUUAAAGAAAAAAAAACUAACUACACCUAGUUGGUCUCUGUGGGUCUAAUGUGGCUUAAUGGGGAAUUUUGAUUAAAUAAAUAAAAGUCUACUAUUCUUUUUAUUUUAUUAAAUGAAAAUAAAAAUUAAAUAGGAAGUUUUUCUCUUCAAGACUCCUUAAACCUUCUUAUUUUAGGAUUGCAUAAACUUUCUAUAUAAUUUUUUGACAUAAACCUUAUAAAUACUUUAUAGAAGGAGAAAAGAAGAAGAGACUCACCUGGCCACCAAGAAGAAGAGACUCUCUUUUAGAUUACAAGAUCCUGGACCAUUAGGUAAUUUUAACCAAAUAGAAGCCUAAAUUAAUUAAGAUAUAAGUGUUAAAUUUUAAUACAAAUUAUUAUUAGUUUAUUUCAUAUUAUAAAUAAAAUUAGCAAGUAGUCCUAAAAUAAGUAACAAAAAUGGUAAUAAUUACAUGAAACUUAUUUGGAGCUUAAUAGGAGUAGGACAAGGAUGAACAUGCCAUACUAGAAAAGAAAUGCCUUUUUCAAGAGUAGCUUACCUCAAUGACAACUAUAAUUAUUUUAGGUAAGUAUCUAUAAAUUU